GACGAACGCUGGCGGCGUGCCUAAUACAUGCAAGUCGAACGCAGGGGGGACGGGUGAGUAAAACGUGGGUAACCUCCGAUAAGAGGGGAUAACACUUGGAAACAGGUGCUAAACCGAUACUGGUUGAUGGACCCGCGGUGCAUUAGCUAGUGGGUGGGGUAACGGCUCACCAAGGCGACGAUGCAUAGCGGACCUGAGAGGGUGAUCGGCCACACUGGGACUGAGACACGGCCCAGACUCCUACGGGAGGCAGCAGUAGGGAAUCUUCGGCAAUGGACGAAAGUCUGACCGAGCAACGCCGCGUGAGUGAAGAAGGUUUUCGGAUCGUAAAUCUCUGUUAGUAGAGAGGCGUUAUCUAAACAGAAAGCCACGGCUAACUACGUGCCAGCAGCCGCGGUAAUAC
rnacentral:rRNA from 1 species